rnacentral:lncRNA from 1 species
GGUGUCUGGCCACCAAAGGCAGGCGUGCAGGGCCUUGGCUACUGCGCUAGGUCUGCUGAUGGCCACAAGCCUUUAGUCCCAGCUCUGCCUUAGCAAUGGGGGUGUCUGAAGGCUCAGGGGAUACACAGGUCCUCUAGGUUCCUGGGGAGAUGAUGGAAAGAAGCUUGCAAUAACUAAUUAGCAGCUCCGGCCACUGGAGAAAGCUCAAUGCCUUGAGAAAAGCAAAUGCACCGGAGAAACAAGUUAGAUAGAGCUGAAUUAAAGAGUGAGAGUUUCGACCAGGAGUGGAUACUGAGGAGAGCAAAGAUCACCUGGUGCUCAUCAAGCCGGACUUCCAGAGGCAAAGCUCCUUAACUGAAGAAUUCAGAAGUCUUUGAGGAAUCACCACCAUGGAAUACUAUGCAGCCAUAAAAAAGAAAGAUAA